UAAAAACUGCCACCGGGUAGGAAUGCAUUGAGCAUUCGUUUACACAUCGUUAGGUCUAAGUAGAUGUGUAUGCGGAUGCUUAUUUUUU
rnacentral:ncRNA from 1 species